AGAGUUUGAUCCUGCCUCAGGACGAACGCUGGCGGCGUGCUUAACACAUGCAAGUCGAACGAAGAGCGAUGGGAGCUUGCUCCUAUCAAUCUUAGUGGCGAACGGGUGAGUAACGCGUAAUCAACCUGCCCUUCAAUGGGGGACAACAGUUGGAAACGACUGCUAAUACCGCAUACGAUCGUAAUUCGGCAUCGAGAUACGAUGAAAGGUGGCCUCUAUUUAUAAGCUAUCGUUGAAGGAGGGGAUUGCGUCUGAUUAGCUAGUUGGAGGGGUAACGGCCCACCAAGGCAAUGAUCAGUAGCCGGUCUGAGAGGAUGAACGGCCACAUUGGGACUGAGACACGGCCCAAACUCCUACGGGAGGCAGCAGUGGGGAAUCUUCCGCAAUGGACGAAAGUCUGACGGAGCAACGCCGCGUGAGUGAUGAAGGUCUUCGGAUUGUAAAGCUCUGUUAAUCGGGACGAAAGAGCCUAGUGUGAAUAAUGCUAGGAAGUGACGGUACCGGAAUAGAAAGCCACGGCUAACUACGUGCCAGCAGCCGCGGUAAUACGUAGGUGGCAAGCGUUGUCCGGAAUUAUUGGGCGUAAAGCGCGCGCAGGCGGAUCUGCCAGUCUGUCUUAAAAGUUCGGGGCUUAACCCCGUGAUGGGAUGGAAACUACAGAUAAUAGAGUAUCGGAGAGGAAAGUGGAAUUCCU
rnacentral:rRNA from 1 species